UUUUAUAGGUUAUUAUUGAUAAUAGAUAGAUUAUAAUUCAUAAUAGAUUAUUGAAACAAUGCCACAAGUACAAAGGCAUUUUAAAUAGAAAAUUAUUUGAAAACCCAACUAAGAGUUGCAAUAAAUAGAAUCUACAUAGGGACUUUGGCUACAAGGCAGAGAUGAUUCUUCUUGUGUUGAGUGAUCCCUGGCAACAUUUCUGUAUCAAUAUCUUCCUUUACCAACCCAUGUGGUAAUUCCCAAUCAAAUGAAUAGAGAAGAUUAGCAAGGGUAAGUUCCAACGAUGCAACUGCAACAGAAAUACCUGGGCAAAUUCUACGGCCUGCUCCAAACGGAAUUAAUUCAAAAUCAUGUCCAAGAAAAUUUAUAGAACUCUCUAAGAAUCUCUCAGGAUAAAACUCUUCCGGAUCUUUCCAAAUUUCAGAGUCUCUAUGAAUAGACCAAGCAUUCACAUAUACUAUUGUUUUUGCAGGAAUAUGGUAGCCACCUACAAUGCACUUUUCCCUUGUUUCUCUUGGCAAAAGCAAUGGAGCUGGUAGGUACAAUCUCAAUGUCUCUUUUAUCACCGCCUUCAAAUAGACGAAAUUUUGUAGAUCAUCUCCGUCUAGAAAAUCCUUUUUAAC
rnacentral:lncRNA from 1 species